rnacentral:lncRNA from 1 species
GAAAAUCAGAUACAGCAGUCCCAAUUUAUGUAAGUAGAAUGUUUUGCAAAAUCCUACAUAAAUUGAAUCUACAUAUGCCAGAGCAUAUAUUAUACAAUACUAAUGGAUCAGAAAGACUUAACAUAAUAGUCAUAUUAAAGAAUAAAUGUUUAAAUAUUAUGGUAAAGCAAUUAUUUGCCAUCUUUGGGGAUGUGGAAUUCAAUUCUGAGGCCUAUAUCUCCAAUUUUUCAGGAGGAAUGGGUUUGGGCCCUAUUCAUUAACUGAAAUUAAUCUUACAUAACUACAAAUCUAUAUAAGUUGGGGAUUACUUGGAUACUUAUUCAAUAUUUAUGAAAUAUUUAUAGAAAAGUAUGAAAUCUGACAAAUCAAAUGGCAAUUUAACAAAGUAGUAGUAGUCUCUUUUGAACUGUAACCAGAAUAUCUGAAUAAUUAUUAAAGUCCAAUAAUGAAAAUUGCAACAAACAAAAUUUUAAGUAUAGUUUAAGUAAAUCAGUUGCUGAAUUUUGUAAGAUAAAUUUUUCUCUUAAAAGCAAGCUUGCAUCCUCUCUAUUCCUUGCCUUGUUGUUGUUUGUUGCUUGCAUGAAUCAAAGUUCUCAGGAAUCUCUAUGCAGAUUGAAUAAGUCCAGUCUUUUAAUCAAUUUUGAAAUUGUCAUGAUAUGAUCUAUGACUUAAGUUAAAUCAAAUUCUU